AUGGCGAGUGAACACACCGAGACCCACGCGGGGAACCGCGUGCAAAGUGCUCCUGCGACCGACGCGAACGAGCACGAUUACGCGCACACCGCGGACGGCGGCUUUGCUCCCGCAGAGGCGCCCCCGUCCUCCGGUGCCCCCGCGCCUCGCGGCGUCCACGUCAAGGCGGAGCCGGAGCCCUUCGUCUCCUCACCCGCGGAGCUGCCCGAACCCGCGGUGGGCGCGGAGGUGGACUGUCCCGGUGGAAGUGAAACGGAACCUCCGUCCCUAUCGCUGUCCCUAAGCGACGACGACCCCCCAAAGCCUCCAGUCACCGGAACUGCGAGCACCGCGCGCCGCGGCCGGCGACGUGUCAACCGGCCGGAGGACGUGAACUGCGCCGGCUGCAGGUCGGAGUUUGAGAAGCAGGGCCGCUGCUUCUGUCGCAGGGCGGUGUACACCUUCACCAACCCGGAGACCGUGCAGUGGGUGUUCCCGGACUCCGUGGUCAACGACAAGUCGUUCCUGUGCGAGACGUGCGCGCAGGUCGUGAGGAGCAGGUGCAAACGCAAACAUACCGGGAAGCGGUACAUCUGGUUGAAGCCGCCUGAAGUGAAGCAGUCACAGAAGAGAAAGAAAGGCCGCAGGAUGGGGAAGAAGAGCAAAGCAGCGCUGCUGGUGAGCAAGUCCUGCUACAAGGCUGCGUUCAAAAUGCUGUGGUCCGCGAAAGGCGCCCGUAAGCCCAUGAUGGAGUUCUGGAGUAAACAGCUGAAGGAGGAGAUGAAGGCGCUUUCGAGGCAGGCGGACAGUCCGUUCCAUCAGAAGGUGUCCAACAGGAAGCCGCUGACGUCGUUCCCCUGGCGCCGCUGCCUGACCUGGGCCCAGGACAAGGCUCCGCUCGUCACCACCUGCCUCCGCUCACUGUUCCCUGACAUCAACGCUCUCUCCAAAAGCAGCCACCAGGUGUCGGAGGAGCAGGCCCAGAUGUUACUAGAGCGUCGAACAGUGGUGACGCUCUCUGUCCCGCUCUUCACGAGAAACAUCUGGAAAAACAACUUCCUGCAGGCUGCUCUAGGCGCCGAGCUCCGCUUGCAAGGCUGUGCUGGUUCUGCCCUGGAUGCUCUCAACACUAUGGGACUCUGUCAAAACAAAGACACCGUCAGGUUACUGCUGCACAGGCUCCAGAACGGCGAGAAAACCACAUCACACAACAGACACCAGAGGAUGAUGAUGACACCAGAGCAGCUUAAAGGAGAAGCCUUGAUGGAUGGAGAGGACGAGGAAGAGGAUGUUGAGAAGGAAGAAGAGGAAGGAGAAGAUGAUGAGGAGGAAGAGGAGGAGGAGGAAGAAGAAGAAGAGGAGGAGGAAGAGGAGGAGGAGGAAAUGGCAGAAGAGGAGGAAGUGGAAGAGGAAGAGGUGCAGGAUGGAGUGCAAGAAGAUGAGGAGGAGGAGGAGGAUCAAGUAGCAGAGGAAGAAGAGAAGAGGAGAAAGAAGAAUGUUAAGAAGCAGAGGAAGGAGCAGAAGAGAAAGCAGAGUGGGAAACGAAAGGCAAACGAGAGAGAGGAAGACGAGGGUGAAGAGGGAUCAGUGCAGAAGAAGAAUAGGGUGGUAGUAGUGAGGCUCGGGCUCCUAAAGGGACACUCAGAGGUUGGACUGUCCGACCUGUCGGCUCCAUGA
rnacentral:lncRNA from 1 species